rnacentral:rRNA from 1 species
AUUGAACGCUGGCGGCAGGCCUAACACAUGCAAGUCGAGCGGCGCGGCGGACGGGUGAGGCAUGCCUAGGAAUCUGCCUGGUAGUGGGGGAUACCGUCCGGAAACGGGCGCUCAUACCGCAUACGAUCCGAUGCGCCUAGGUCGGAUUAGCGAGGUGGUGGGGUAAAGGCCUACCAAGGCGACGAUCCGUAACUGGUCUGAGAGGAUGAUCAGUCACACUGGAACGGAGACAGGGUCCAGACGCCUACGGUAGGCAGCAGUGGGGAAUAGUGGACAAUGGGCGAAAGCCUGAUCCAGCCAUGCCGCGUGUGUGAAGAAGGUCUUCGGAUUGUAAAGCACUUUAAGUUGGGAGGCGUGACCAACAGAAUAAGCACCGGCUAACUUCGUGCCAGCAGCCGCGGUAAUUC